ACAGCAGCAGCCGCGGGAAUACGUAGGUCCCGAGCGUUGUCCGGAUUUAUUGGGCGUAAAGGGAGCGCAGGCGGUUUAGUAAGUCUGAAGUUAAAGGCAUUGGCUCAACCAAUGUAUGCUUUGGAAACUGUUAGACUUGAGUGCAGAAGGGGAGAGUGGAAUUCCAUGUGUAGCGGUGAAAUGCGUAGAGAUUAGGAGGAACACCAGUGGCGAAGGCGGCUUUUUGGCCUGUAACUGACACUGAGGCGCGAAAGCGUGGGGAGCAAACAGGAUUAGAUACCCCAGUAGUCCCUGUCUCUUAUACA
rnacentral:rRNA from 1 species